rnacentral:rRNA from 1 species
CGCGCAGGCGGCCGAGUAAGUCGAAUGUGAAAGCCCCCGGCUCAACUGGGGAAGGUCAUUCGAUACUGUUCGGCUCGAAGAUAGGAGAGGGAAGCGGAAUUUCAGGUGUAGUGGUGAAAUGCGUAGAUAUCUGAAGGAACACCAGUGGCGAAGGCGGCUUUCUGGCCUAUUCUUGACGCUGAGGCGCGAAAGCUAGGGGAGCGAACG